AGUAGACGCCGGUUAUAAGGCCGGAGCCGGGACAGGAGAGACGAGACUUGUGAGCUUCAGUCUGCGUCCAGCUACUAGACGGGAAGGUAGCGGUCGUCUCUCUGCUCGCAGCAUGUUGUGGGCGGGGUUCGUGUCCCUCGCGGCCCUGAGUGUGGGCGCGGGGGCGGCGUCGGAUCGGGUCGCGGCGAGGGCGUGCUUCCACCACCCCAACAACGGCGGCACCAUCUAUGAC